ensembl:lncRNA
CCCCACGCUGAUUGACAAGAAGAACAUUACAAUACAUGCACAUAGAACAACUGGCAUAGCGGACAACGAAAUAUAAUGUAACACAUAACACACAAACUAUUUAACUGUCCCAGGGUCGCUACAGUACAAAAGUUCUAGACUCCCAUGGGUUAUGUUUAGACUCCCAUGGGUUAUGUUUAGACUCCCAGGGGUCAUAAUAUCUACCAGUGGUCUAUUAAACAAGAAAUUUAGCAGGUGGCUCACUGUAAUUGUAUGGGCUUCGUGUGAUACCGUUUUGAGGCCCCAUGUUGAAGGACAGUGGUCCCACUGAGUAUAAGAAAGGUGUAUGAGCAUUACAAACAGAGUAGCGGGACAACGUAGCGUCUGAGGCCGAAAUGGGUCCCCUAAUCGGACUGAAUGGUGCGGUUGGGUGCCAACGGUCUGGAGGUCUUCCUGUAGCUCCAGAGUAGCGGGACAACAUCGCGUCUGAGUCCGAAAUGGGUCCCGUAAUCGGACUGAGUGGUGCGGUUGGGUGCCAACGGUCUGGAGGUCCUGAGAAUCAUCCAGGGGAGCGGGACCACUUGGCUUCUGAGGCCGAAUCGGGUCCCCUUGUCGGACUGAAUGGUGCAGUUGGUGGCCAACAGUCUGGAGGUCUUCCUGAGGCUCCAGAGGAGGGUAACUCUGUGAGUCUGAGUCCGAGAUGAGUCCCCUAAUCGGACUGAAUGGUGCAGUUUCAGUACGCCGUGGACCACUUUGGUCUGCCAUCGUCAGUCGCUACGGUCGCUACUCGCUACUGUCUGCCGUGGAAUCAAAACAACCCUCUAGUUGAGGACGCGCCUUGAUGACGCGGGCCCGAAUGCGCCACAAGAAGCAGACGGAAAACCUUAUAUAUCCAUGCAGCAAACAGACAGGUCUGUCGGCCAAUAAGGUCAUUCGGUCCGAAGAAUUUUAUUGGUUGAAGUUUUCACUAAAUAUUAUGAGAGUAAAAUAAUUGUUUGUUUUUACUUCUGGUUGGUCUGUCUUGCAUAUUAGAGUGUUAUUACCUUAUUAAUACCAAUUUAACCUUAUCCAAAAAAAGUGUAAAAAUGCAACAAAGGUAAGAGUCCCUUUAAAGGA